CUGCACCGUAGCGAAAGAAAUAGCUGUAACGGGAGGCAGAAGGUGGGGAAGCAGUGAGGCUAGCGACGGAUCUCGUCCUAUGGCCAUAUAACCUACACGCAGGACGAAAUCUUGUCCGCUGGCUUCUGUCUGCAACUAAAUAUGCGUGUGCCUAAAUGUUAGGGAGCGGGCGAUCGCUGCCAGUAUCAGACGAGCGUGGGGGUUGGUGUCUUUGUCUGCCUGGAAGAUGGCGUCCGACAUGAUGUGAGAAAAUGGCCGCCUGGGUCACAUGUCUGGCGGAGUGUUUCCCACCUGAAGUGAAUUGGUUAGCUGUUCCAGCAACCUUCCUAGCUGGUAGGACCCCAGACAAACCCUAAGGCAUGCAUUCCCAGCAUUUUAUUCACAAGUUCAGAUUGACGACCAUGCGCAGCCAGAACAGGAACCUGAAACCUGAAAUUCUCUCCCACCCCUGUGAUCCUUUCCCCCACCUCCUCACCUAUCUCUCUGGUGAACGUUGGAGCAGCGUUGGCAGAAAGGAAUUUAUAUCUUAGAAAUGAGGGAAAAGUAAAAUUUCUCCGGAAACUGUCUCGAGGACCUUCAGACCUGGCUGACAAGAAAAUGGACUCCCUGACUAAAGGAGCUAUACGUUUUGGAGCCUUCAACCUGACCCAGCAUAAGAAUAGUACAAAUCUUGCUUCAACAAGCUUGUUAAAUGGUGCUUGGUAGUACCCUCGCACACCAAGAUAGUAGCAAACUUGAUAUAACCAUUGACUUGAGGAGCUCCAGUGGCACAAUCAGCGCACAAUACUUAUGUAACCAUUGACUUGCAAAAGCUCUGCUUCCUCUCUUGGACCUCUGCCACAGUUAUAAGAACAUACGUAAGUUAGCCUGCCAAACGGUUGUGAAACACAUGUAGAAAUGACCUUGGUCAUCUCAUCUGAUGUGUCCUAUAGCAGCCAACCUCCAGCUAUACUAUUAGCGGAGUACAGACACAUGAGCUAGGCCAGCUGAACUCAAGAGAGCCUGGUUCUGAUCAUAGGAACUUCCAGUGGACCCAUAGGCGAAGUUUUGGUACAUACGAAUUCAACAUUUUACAAGGAACUAUUGUGGCAGGAGUCUCCUAUCACUGGUUUUCUUUUCCACAGCUAUCUUGGUAAUAUUUGCUUAUUAUUUUCCCUUAUGAACUCUU